CAGCGAGACGCUUCUGGGACGCUUCUGAGCCAACGCGGAGCGUCUGGUGGAAUAGCACCCAUUGACUAGAGUGGCCGCGAUGCGGACGCUGCGGCGCAGCCGCAACGCGGCCGUAACGCGCCGCAGACGGACCCGGUGGAAACUAGGGAAGUACCUGAUUAUGCUUGACUUUUGUGCAGCCUACGGAUGCUCUAAUCACCGCAGUCUGCAAACAAGAACCCGUGGAAUCACCUUUCAUGUGUUUCCCAAAACCGAAGAGAGGAGGAGGCAGUGGGAACUCGCCCUAAGAAGGGACAUCUUCAUGUUCCAUGAGACGCAGCACUAUGUUCCCCACAUAUGUUUAUGUUUGCUCAGUCUAAUAAACCCAUAACAUGGUUGUGAAAGAAUACCAAAGCUGA